AAAAUGUAAAUAAAUAAAAAAAAGCUUUAUUUAUUAUAAUGGCUACUUUUUAAAUAAAUUAUUCAAGUUUAAAAUUAGACAAAAAAUUAUGAAUUUUUUACACUUUGCCAGUCUUGCCGUAUUUUAUUUAAUGGCAAAUGUCAUUUUCUUCAUUUUUAUUCGUCUACCAGUAACACAUCAAUUAAUAGAAAUUUCUCACGAUAACGAAAUAUUCAAAUUGUCCGAGGUUAUUGAUCAAGACAAAAUUAUUCAAAUUGGCCAAGGCGAAGGAUCAAAAACGUCGGAAAGUUAAUUUAAAAAAAAAAAAAUUGAAAAAUUUUGUUUGAAAAAAUAUUUAUUGACAGAAAAUAUGAAUAUUUUUACAUGGCAAAUAAAAAGAAAAACAAAAAAUGAUGACGCUGAAGAAAGAAGAAGUAAAAAAAAAUCAAUAAGUGUUCGAUUCAAAUGAUUGAUUUGAAUAAAAAAAAAGUAUUUGAGAUUUAUAUAUAACAAAACAAUAUAUAUAUGGGCAAUGGGAAUUAUUCCUAAUUACUCGCGAGCAUACGGCGCCUUGGAACAAAACCUUUAGGACACAGAAGGACCAAACUCGUCUGCUGCUUUUGACAUUGAUUGAUACUCUCAUUAAUUUACCAAUAUGACUCAAUUAGUAUAUAUGAAUGAUAAUAAUGAAGGAAAUUUCUUGAAUUAAUUAUUAAGGCAAUUAUCAAUGCAAUAUGUAUUCUGCGAGACAGUGAAUAAAAUUGGUGAAAGAAAUCAGAGGCAAUAUAGUCGGUGGAAUAUAUAAAUGUAUUUCUCAGGAGGUUUAAUAUUCAUCGACGUGGGUUUAUUUUCUCUGGUCGAUGCUAAUGUCCCGAAGAAACUUAUAAAUUUGCCCCACUGGGUUUUAAUUAGUAACGAAGUUUAAUUUGUCGAGUAAUCAACGAAAUAGAAACUAUAUGUAUAUAAAACAGGAUAAAAGGAUUUUCUGAAGCGCUCAAAAUGAAACAAGACCAAUUUGCAUUUUUAUAUAUGCAUUAUUUCACUGUAUAAUAUCAACUUGGAUUAAAUUAUUUUUCUUUUCUUUUUUUUUUUAUAUAAAAUUUUAAAAUAAUAAAGU